rnacentral:rRNA from 1 species
UGGGGAAUUUUGGACAAUGGGCGAAAGCCUGAUCCAGCAAUGCCGCGUGUGUGAAGAAGGCCUUCGGGUUGUAAAGCACUUUUGUCCGGAAAGAAAUCCUUGGCUCUAAUACAGUCGGGGGAUGACGGUACCGGAAGAAUAAGCACCGGCUAACUACGUGCCAGCAGCCGCGGUAAUACGUAGGGUGCAAGCGUUAAUCGGAAUUACUGGGCGUAAAGCGUGCGCAGGCGGUUUGCUAAGACCGAUGUGAAAUCCCCGGGCUCAACCUGGGAACUGCAUUGGUGACUGGCAGGCUAGAGUAUGGCAGAGGGGGGUAGAAUUCCACGUGUAGCAGUGAAAUGCGUAGAGAUGUGGAGGAAUACGAUGGCGAAGGCAGCCCCCUGGGCCAAUACUGACGCUCAUGCACGAAAAGCGUGGGGAGCAAACAGGAUUAGAUACCCUGGUAGUCCACGCCCUAAACGAUGUCAACUAGUUGUUGGGGAUUCAUUUCCUUAGUAACGUAGCUAACGCGUGAAGUUGACCGCCUGGGGAGUACGGUCGCAAGAUUAAAACUUAAAUGAAUUGACGGGGUCAUAGCUGUUUCCU